UACGAGGGGGGGCGAGCGUUUGUUCGGAAUUAUUGGGCGUAAAGGGCGCGUAGGCGGCCUGGCAAGUGGAAGGUGAAAUCCCUCGGCUUAACCGAGGAACUGCCGUCCAAACUGCUUCGCUUGAGACCGGGAGAGGUGAGUGGAAUUCCCAGUGUAGCGGUGAAAUGCGUAGAUAUUGGGAGGAACACCAGUGGCGAAGGCGGCUCACUGGACCGGUACUGACGCUGAUGCGCGAAAGCGUGGGGAGCAAACAGG
rnacentral:rRNA from 1 species